UUACUGUGCCAUUUCUGCCGUUAUCAUUUAUUCCUACAAAUGCAACCUGAUUAUUUCCACAAAUUAAGUUAAAAUCACUCAGAGGAAGAUAACAUGACAUCGAUGACCCUCGUGCAACCAUCAAGCAAUGCGGAAAGUACCAGCGCCGCACUCCACUGUUUCGUUUCCAACAUUCGCGAUACGUUCUACUGUGCUUUCCGUUAACUAUUAGGAAGGCCUGUCCGAAGAGGUAGGGGGAUGGAAACUACAAAUCCCAGAUAUCCUAUGCCGUACGAUUGUUUGGUGACUGAAAAGUCAUAGCUUGCGACAGGUAUUGCAUUGCGGGUGCCUAGGGAGCCGAAACCGAGCAUUCCGGAGGUUUAUGGACCUUGCGUUGCUCCGUGUAUCCUUUCAUCUCUCCGUUGACGAUGGGGAAGGCCGAAGAAGUGAUACGCAUUGCCAAAAAGCUGGACAAGAUGGUAAACAAGAAAAAUACGGAUGGGGCAUUAAACUUGCUUAAAGAGCUUAAAGACUUUCCAAUGUCACUGGAAACACUACAGUCUACUAGAAUUGGAAUGUCUGUGAAUGCUGUUAGAAAGCAAAGUUCUGAAGAAGAAGUCCAAGCAUUAGCAAAGUCGCUUAUUAAAUCCUGGAAAAAGCUGCUUGAUAGCUCAGAAAGCAAAGUAGAAGAGAAGAAAAAGGAGUCUUCGGGUUUGCCAUCACCUACAAAGGAUAAUCCUGAAACUAGUGACCAAAGCAAAGUACAAACGCCUAAGACUCCAACUACUCCCAAAAUUACUACAUUCCCUCCACCACCAGUUACAACAGACAAUGUGCGUAACAAGUGCAGAGAAUUGUUGAUGACUGCACUUCAGACUGAUGGUGAUUAUAUUGCUAUUGGAGUUGACUGCGAGAGUUUGGCUGCACAAAUUGAAGAUUAUAUAUAUAAGGAAUUUAAAUGCACAGAUAUGAAGUACAAAACACGACUAAGAAGCAGAAUCUCCAACUUAAAAGAUCAGAAGAAUCCAGAGUUAAGGAAGAAUGUGCUAUGUGGGAACAUUUCAGCAGAGCGUAUUGCCUCAAUGACUGCUGAGGAAAUGGCAAGUGCAGAGCUGAAAGAAGUUAGGAAAGCACUCACAAAAGAGUCAAUUCGUGAGCAUCAGUUAGCCAGGACUGGUGGUACACAGACUGACCUUUUUACAUGUGGGAAAUGCAAGAAGAAGAAUUGCACAUAUACACAGGUGCAAACACGCAGUGCAGAUGAACCUAUGACUACAUUUGUAGUUUGCAAUGAAUGUGGAAACAGAUGGAAGAAUAAGAAGUGACACCGCACAUGUACUUUGUCAGCAUGCCCAUGUCGAUCAAACACAGGAAGCUCUGCAGUCUACUUGUGACAGUACACUGUUGGAAGAUAAGUAAAUAAAUCAAGUUCUGCUAAGACUUCAGUGAAGAUUUCAGUUCCAAGAAAGAAAAGGCAUCGGCAUUUCAUUUAUUUCAGGAAAUUGUAAAGUUUUUCUCUGAAUAUAGCUUUAUAUAAUUUAGAGGUUAUAAACACCUUUAAUGCAGUAUAUGUUUAAGAAAAGAUAACAUUUCAACUUUUUUUUAUUCAUUUUCUUUUUUAUUUGAUGAUGUCUGUACAUUCUUCUGUUAAGUUAAUGAUUUUCUAAAAUUUGCACCAUUCAUUUUUUUUCUUUAAGUUUACUUUGAAAUUUGCAUUCCUUUGUUUGCAUUGUCUUUCACAGCCUGCCUUAAACACUCUGUCUGUCUGUGUGUCUGUGUGUGUGUGUGCGUGUGUGCGCGCGCGCGCGUAUGUGUCUAUAAAACAUGCUUAGACACUUUGGUUUACUGUUAUUUCCAAUUUAUGCUAUAAUCCCAAAAAAAAAAAAAAACAGGCGAUAUCCAGGAUGUUAAACAUUUAAAAUUCCUGUGUACAGCAUAUUGUUUCUGUUAAAUAUGUAGCAUUUUUCCUCUGUUAAAAAGAAACUAAUAAAAACUUGAGAAUUGCUUAUGUAUAUUGAUGUGAAUGUAGUCAUGUUCUCAGGUUGUUCUUUUCUUAUGACAGCACUUUUGAACAUAAAGCUAUAAAUUUCUUUAUUAAAUUUGUUGGAUACUGGAGUGUCUUUAUUUGCUUGUGUCUAUUAGUAUGCAUAAAUUUGUUAAUUAUCUUAGAAAUAAAGUGUCUCUAAGCAUGGCUUAUUGCUAAUUUUUCUCUUUUUUGUAUUUCAUUUCCUUUAACGUGUGCAGUUUAUUUUAUACUUUGUACUUUAGUUACAGUAUCAUAACUUUUAAUGCAAAAUACACACCAUGUAUAUUUUUUGUGAUAUGAACCAUUUUUCACUAGCCUAUUAAAUAAACAUACGUGUUCAGUUGUGAA